ACUUACCCCGCCCUCCCCACGACUUUAAUAACCUUCAUCAAGCCCUACAAAUGGUGCUCGAAUGCUAAGCUAUCAUACCUUCCUACUGUGCUGUACCUUUUAUCCCGUCAACAAUCAAGCCUCGUAAUGGUCAUAUCCGUGAUUUCCUACGAAACCCGCGAGGUCUUCCGCACUGUGGUUAACGGUAAAUUGUUUGAGCGAGAAGACGUAACUCAAAUAUACGUGAUUGAGCCAAUGCCGGCCAGCAAGCCUCAGACUCUUCUCACUGAUACUAUAAGAAAGGUUGAAACAGGGAUGAUAAAGACCACAAUGGCCAUGACUAUAGGAUGGUGCGCAUGGCUCUGGUGGGCUUUCAGCUGAAUCCACUCAAUGUUGGAUGCAGGCAUCAAAACCUGAAGGAAGGAUCGACAUUUGGCGGGAGGAACAAUAUUAUUUAAAACCUCUUGUUCUCCAUCUCUCGUCCUUCUUCCCACAUGGUCUUGCCACUACAGGCGCAGACUGUCUUGUCGUUGCCCCAUGCUCCUGCACUUCGUGCGACAACACCAGCAAAUAACCUCCCUAUUGUCGCUUCAUUCUGCUCGGAACCCGGGGCAGCCUCCUUUGCCGCAAGCUGUGAAACCGUGGGGGCUGCUUCGUUAGCGGCUUGCACCACGCAUCCUCUACCAAUCCACUCCCAUAAUUCGCCAUCAACCUCUUUGAACAUAUCGCCAUAGCCGUCCUUGUCGGGGGUGAUGGAGCCUAAGGAUAUAUAUGGCUUGCCAGUGGUGAUAGGUGGGUUGACAAGGUUGCCAGUCGAAGCGAUGUAAACGCUGUAGUUUGUAUCUUGGGCACCCUGCGCUGCACCCAACCCAACCCGGGAUGGAGGAGGAAGACGAACAGUCAAAUCCAUAAGUACCGUCUUUGGAGCAAUUUGAACAAAUCGACAAAUCCCGAAGACCUUCUGAGAGUAUUCUUCUUCAUUCAUGCCGGGAAGAGAUUUGGGUGAGGUUUCGGGAAGACCGGCUAGGAUAGGGUUCGAUGUAGAUACUAAAGAUGCGGGAAGAGGUAGAGGAGACUCCAAGAUGGCAACGGCUGCUUGGAUAGGGAGAUUGACAUUGGCAGAUGAGGAAGUGCCUCGAACGAUUACUUGGCGAUUAGUGGACUUGAGAGCCGUAAUCAGACUUGAUGGCGGUGCUGCGAUUAUGUAGUCAAUAUAUGGAUUUGCAACGAUA
rnacentral:sRNA from 1 species